GGACCUGUGGGAAUGAGGUUGAAGGUGCAUAGUGGCGGGGGGUUUUAAGGGCGGCGAUGGACGGAGACAGGUUAUGAUGUGAGAGAACGAGCUAGGGAGAGGGCCCAGAGAUAGGUUGGGAGUAGGGUGGGGGAAACAGUGAUCUAAAGGGACAAGAGGCAGGGGCUUGGAGGAGCAGGGCCGUAAGAAAGAACGCGGCUAACGGGAUGAGAAUGAAGGCGCCAACACACUGCCAAGAUGGAGUGGGAAAAAACUAGAGAGGGAUGAGGCGGAGGGCAAAGGAUCGGAGAGAGGGGAUGAGGAUGGCUAGGGAAGAACGGCAGAAGUUCGGCCCAGAAUAAAGAACAGGGUCAGGACAGAAGACGUGUUUGGAGAGAAGACAGACUUGAGUGGAGGGGAAUGGAGGUGCACUGAGCGGGGAAACCUCCUGGGCUGCUGGAAGGUGGGGACAGGUGGGAGUCUGGCAGAUAACUGCUCACCGUAGAGUCCUUAAAGGACGUGCCCGGAAGAAAGGGCAAGCCAUGCACGGGAUUGGACACCAUUGCAGCCGGUACCACCGCCGCCACCUAGGUCCUGCUUCGUCCUCUCCGGUUGCCCAGGCGACAAGCAGUGUUCGCGGGCACCUCCAGGAUCCAUGGUAACGCUAAACAUCCGGAACUCCCACGAGCGGAAGGCGGGGCCAGGAGGCGCAGGCAUCACAGGAGGUUUGCGCGUGCGCCAUCCGCAGGACUCCGCGUUCUCGCGACACCAACUGAGGAUGGAUGCCAGUCACUGGAGGAAUAUGUCAAGAUGGCAAGUUUGCUGGGUGCGGUGGCUCACGCCUGUAAUCCCAGCACUUUGGGAGGCCGAGGCGGGUGGAUCGCCUGAGGUCAGAGUUUGAGACCAGCCUGGACAACAUAGUGAAACCCCACCUCUACUAAAAAUACAAAAUUAGCUGGGCAUGGGGGCGCAUGCCUGUAAUCCCAGCUACUUGGGAGGCUGAGGCACGAGAAUCGCUUGAACCCGGGAGGUAGAGGUUGCAGUGAGCCGAGAUCGCGCCAUUGCACUCCAGCCUGGGCAACAAGAGCAAAACUCCGUCUCAAAAAAAGGAAAAAAAAAAAAAAAGAUGGCAAGUUUAACCUUUCAAAGAUAAGGCACCUCUCCCACUUCUCUCCACCUCAUUGACGCUGAUUACCCAGAAUCACUGGUUACUGUAAUUUUUGCUGACUCUUCAUGAUAACCUUAAACUGUUAGAAGUUCCAUGAUCCCUCCCUACCCACUCUCUUAUUAAAAGUAAAUUUCAUGGCAUUAGGACACACUUUGAAGAGCUCUUCUUGACUAAGUGCAUGGUUGCACUUGGAUCUAUAUUCCUGGGUUGGGUAGGGAAGGAGCGUGUGGAGCUGGAAAGGCUGAGUCAUGCCUAAGCCUAUUGUCCAUUAUCGCAUCUGUUUCUAUUUGAGGAGUGCCCUCUGCUCAUGCCUUUCUUUCCAGAAAAGCACGCCAGUUAAAUGGCUAAGGGGUGUGUUUUAACUACUUUCGGACCCCAGAAAUGCAUGAAGACAACUUCUGUUGGUCUAUGGCCUCCUAAAAAUGCUAUCAUCUCUGAGGAGGGGAAGUCAGACGUACUGCAUUAGUGUUAAAAGGCACAGGGACAAGUCUGUAAAGAAGUGGGGCGGGAGGAAAGGCAGGGCUUCAGAAAGGUACCUGGAUCCUCAGAAGGUCUGCUGUGAUUAAGAGUUUGUAUCCCAGUCGGGUGCAGUGGCUCAUGCCCGUAACCCCAGCACUUUGGGAGGCCAAGGUGGGCAAAUCACUUGAGGCCAAGAUUUUGAGACCAGCCUGGCGAAACCCCAUCUCUACUAAAAAUACAAAAAUU
rnacentral:lncRNA from 1 species